GCAGACGCUGCCGCCGAGGAAAUUCUUGUACUACUAGCCAUGGUCAACCCUACCGUGUUCUUCGACAUUGCCGUCGACGGCGAGCCCUUGGGCCGCGUCUCCUUUGAGCUGUUUGCAGACAAGGUUCCAAAGACAGCAGAAAAUUUUCGUGCUCUGAGCACUGGAGAGAAAGGAUUUGGUUAUAAGGGUUCCUGCUUUCACAGAAUUAUUCCAGGGUUUAUGUGUCAGGGUGGUGACUUCACACGCCAUAAUGGCACUGGUGGCAAGUCCAUCUAUGGGGAGAAAUUUGAAGAUGAGAACUUCAUCCUAAAGCAUACAGGUCCUGGCAUCUGGUCCAUGGCAAAUGCUGGACCCAACACAAAUGGUUCCCAGUUUUUCAUCUGCACUGCCAAGACUGAGUGGUUGGAUGGCAAGCAUGUGGUCUUUGGCAAAGUGAAAGAAGGCAUGAAUAUUGUGGAGGCCAUGGAGCACUUUGGGUCCAGGAAUGGCAAGACCAGCAAGAAGAUCACCAUUGCUGACUGUGGACAACUCGAGUAAGUUUGACUUGUGUUUUAUCUUAACCACCAAACCAUUCCUUCUGUAGCUCAGGAGAGCACCCCUCCACCCCAUUUGCUCGCAGUAUCCUAGAAUCUUUGCGCUCUCACUGCAGUUCCCUUUGGGUUCCAUGUUUUCCUUGUUCUCUCCCAUGCCUAGCUGGAUUGCAGAGUUAAGUUUAUGAUUAUGAAAUAAAAACUAAAUAACAAAAAAAAAAA